GACAGCAUGGUGUAGUGGUUUGCAUACAAGACUAACACUCUGGAGACUAGGAUUUGAAUCCCCAUUCAGCCA